rnacentral:lncRNA from 1 species
UGGUUGAAGUGAAGUCUAUUAUUCUCGGUGUUGGAUGAAAUUUAUGAGUUUUGAGCAGUCUUUUAAGAGUGCAAGAUUGUACACUGUUGUUAUCAAUUGAUGAAGGAGUAUUGUUACUAGGAGGAAGUAUUGUAGUGUUUCUUAGUGUUUUAGUAGUUUAGAAUACAGUUAAUUAUGUGACCCUAACAAGUAAAGCUCAUGCAUUUAGUCUUUUCUUGUGUUCGAAUUCCCCUAUACAGGUUUAUUUUGGAAGAAA